AGUGAACGCUGGCGGUAGGCCUAACACAUGCGAGUCGAACGGCAGCACAGUAAGAGCUUGCUCUUACGGGUGGCGAGUGGCGGACGGGUGAGGAAUACAUCGGAAUCUACUUUUUCGUGGGGGAUAACGUAGGGAAACUUACGCUAAUACCGCAUACGACCUACGGGUGAAAGCAGGGGAUCUUCGGACCUUGCGCGAUUGAAUGAGCCGAUGUCGGAUUAGCUAGUUGGCGGGGUAAAGGCCCACCAAGGCGACGAUCCGUAGCUGGACUGAGAGGAUGAUCAGCCACACUGGAGCUGAGACACGGUCCAGACUCCUACGGGAGGCAGCAGUGGGGAAUAUUGGACAAUGGGGGCAAGCCUGAUCCAACCAUACCGCGUGGGUGAAGAAGGCCUUCGGGUUGUAAAGCCCUUUUGUUGGGAGAGAAAAGCAGCAGGUUAAUACCCCGCUGUUCUGACGGUACCCAAAGAAUAAGCACCGGCUAACUUCGUG
rnacentral:rRNA from 1 species